rnacentral:rRNA from 1 species
GUAACAAGGUCUCCGUUGGUGAACCAGCGGAGGGAUCAUUGCUGGAACGCGCCCCCGGCGCACCCAGAAACCCUUUGUGAACUUAUACCUACUGUUGCCUCGGCGCAGGCCGGCCUUUGUCAAAAAAGGCCCCCUGGAGACAGGGAGCAGCCCGCCGGCGGCCAACCAAACUCUUGUUUCUAUAGUGAAUCUCUGAGUAAAAACAUAAAUGAAUCAAAACUUUCAACAACGGAUCUCUUGGUUCUGGCAUCGAUGAAGAACGCAGCGAAAUGCGAUAAGUAAUGUGAAUUGCAGAAUUCAGUGAAUCAUCGAAUCUUUGAACGCACAUUGCGCCCUCUGGUAUUCCGGAGGGCAUGCCUGUUCGAGCGUCAUUUCAACCCUCAAGCCUGGCUUGGUGAUGGGGCACUGCCUGUAAAAGGGCAGGCCCUGAAAUCUAGUGGCGAGCUCGCCAGGACCCCGAGCGUAGUAGUUAUAUCUCGCUCUGGAAGGCCCUGGCGGUGCCCUGCCGUUAAACCCCCAACUUCUGAAAAUUUGACCUCGGAUCAGGUUGGGAUACCCGCUGAACUUAAGCAUAUCUUU